rnacentral:rRNA from 1 species
CGGCGUCGAGCGGCGGACGGGUGAGUAAUGCCUAGGAAAUUGCCCUGAUGUGGGGGAUAACCAUUGGAAACGAUGGCUAAUACCGCAUGAUGCCUACGGGCCAAAGAGGGGGACCUUCGGGCCUCUCGCGUCAGGAUAUGCCUAGGUGGGAUUAGCUAGUUGGUGAGGUAAGGGCUCACCAAGGCGACGAUCCCUAGCUGGUCUGAGAGGAUGAUCAGCCACACUGGAACUGAGACACGGUCCAGACUCCUACGGGAGGCAGCAGUGGGGAAUAUUGCACAAUGGGCGCAAGCCUGAUGCAGCCAUGCCGCGUGUGUGAAGAAGGCCUUCGGGUUGUAAAGCACUUUCAGUCGUGAGGAAGGUAGUGUAGUUAAUAGCUGCAUUAUUUGACGUUAGCGACAGAAGAAGCACCGGCUAACUCCGUGCCAGCAGCCGCGGUAAUACGGAGGGUGCGAGCGUUAAUCGGAAUUACUGGGCGUAAAGCGCAUGCAGGUGGUUUGUUAAGUCAGAUGUGAAAGCCCGGGGCUCAACCUCGGAAUUGCAUUUGAAACUGGCAGACUAGAGUACUGUAGAGGGGGGUAGAAUUUCAGGUGUAGCGGUGAAAUGCGUAGAGAUCUGAAGGAAUACCGGUGGCGAAGGCGGCCCCCUGGACAGAUACUGACACUCAGAUGCGAAAGCGUGGGGAGCAAACAGGAUUAGAUACCCUGGUAGUCCACGCCGUAAACGAUGUCUACUUGGAGGUUGUGGCCUUGAGCCGUGGCUUUCGGAGCUAACGCGUUAAGUAGACCGCCUGGGGAGUACGGUCGCAAGAUUAAAACUCAAAUGAAUUGACGGGGGCCCGCACAAGCGGUGGAGCAUGUGGUUUAAUUCGAUGCAACGCGAAGAACCUUACCUACUCUUGACAUCCAGAGAACUUUCCAGAGAUGGAUUGGUGCCUUCGGGAACUCUGAGACAGGUGCUGCAUGGCUGUCGUCAGCUCGUGUUGUGAAAUGUUGGGUUAAGUCCCGCAACGAGCGCAACCCUUAUCCUUGUUUGCCAGCGAGUAAUGUCGGGAACUCCAGGGAGACUGCCGGUGAUAAACCGGAGGAAGGUGGGGACGACGUCAAGUCAUCAUGGCCCUUACGAGUAGGGCUACACACGUGCUACAAUGGCGCAUACAGAGGGCGGCCAACUUGCGAAAGUGAGCGAAUCCCAAAAAGUGCGUCGUAGUCCGGAUUGGAGUCUGCAACUCGACUCCAUGAAGUCGGAAUCGCUAGUAAUCGUGGAUCAGAAUGCCACGGUGAAUACGUUCCCGGGCCUUGUACACACCGCCCGUCACACCAUGGGAGUGGGCUGCAAAAGAAGUAGGUAGUUUAACCUUCGGGGGGACGCUUACCACUUUGUGGUUCAUGACUGGGGUGAAGUCGUAACAAGGUAGCGCUAGGGGAACCUGGCGCUGGAUCACCUCCUUA